GACGAACGCUGGCGGCGUGCCUAACACAUGCAAGUCGAGCGAUGAAACUUGAACAGUACUCUUCGGAGCGUAGCGACGGUCGAGUAGCGGCCGAGGGGUGAGCAACACUUGAGUAACCUGCUUUAGACAUUGGGAUAGACCCAGGAACCCAGGAUUUAUACCAACUAAAAUUUCAAUAAUACAUGUCAUAACUAUUAAAACUCCGAUGAUCUAGGAUGGAAUCUCAUCGCAUUAGCAAGUUGGUAGGGUACAAGCCCACCAAGGCGACGCUGGCUAGCCGGGCAGAGAGGGUCGGCGGAGACAUUGGAGCUGAGAAGCGGUACAGACUCUUACGGGAGGCAGGAGUGGGGAAUAGUGCAAAAUGGAGGGAGUUAUGAUGCAGCGACGCCGCGUGAACGAUGAAGGCUUGGGAGUAGUAAAGUUCUUGUAAAUGGGAAGGUAUUGACGGUACCUAAAGAAAAAGCCCCGGCUAACUACGUG
rnacentral:rRNA from 1 species